CAUUUGUUCUCUAAAUAAGGACUUGUAUGAAUGGCCACACGAGGGUUUUACUGUCUCUUACUUCUAAUCAGUGAAAUUGACCUCCCCGUGAAGAGGCGGGGAUGAACCAACAAGACGAGAAGACCCUAUGGAGCUUUAACUAAUUAACCCAAAGAAAAAAACUCAACCGCCAAGGGAUAACAACACUAUUUAUGGGUUAACAGUUUCGGUUGGGGUGACCUCGGAGAAUAGAAAAUCCUCCGAGCGAUUUUAAAGACCAGACUUACAAGUCGAAUCAAACCAUCGCUUAUUGAUCCAAAAACUUGAUCAACGGAAUAAGUUACCCUAGGGAUAACAGCGCA
rnacentral:rRNA from 1 species